rnacentral:rRNA from 1 species
GAUGAACGCUGGCGGCGUGCCUAAUACAUGCAAGUCGAGCGAACGGACGAGAAGCUUGCUUCUCUGAUGUUAGCGGCGGACGGGUGAGUAACACGUGGAUAACCUACCUAUAAGACUGGGAUAACUUCGGGAAACCGGAGCUAAUACCGGAUAAUAUUUUGAACCGCAUGGUUCAAAAGUGAAAGACGGUCUUGCUGUCACUUAUAGAUGGAUCCGCGCUGCAUUAGCUAGUUGGUAAGGUAACGGCUUACCAAGGCAACGAUGCAUAGCCGACCUGAGAGGGUGAUCGGCCACACUGGAACUGAGACACGGUCCAGACUCCUACGGGAGGCAGCAGUAGGGAAUCUUCCGCAAUGGGCGAAAGCCUGACGGAGCAACGCCGCGUGAGUGAUGAAGGUCUUCGGAUCGUAAAACUCUGUUAUUAGGGAAGAACAUAUGUGUAAGUAACUGUGCACAUCUUGACGGUACCUAAUCAGAAAGCCACGGCUAACUACGUGCCAGCAGCCGCGGUAAUACGUAGGUGGCAAGCGUUAUCCGGAAUUAUUGGGCGUAAAGCGCGCGUAGGCGGUUUUUUAAGUCUGAUGUGAAAGCCCACGGCUCAACCGUGGAGGGUCAUUGGAAACUGGAAAACUUGAGUGCAGAAGAGGAAAGUGGAAUUCCAUGUGUAGCGGUGAAAUGCGCAGAGAUAUGGAGGAACACCAGUGGCGAAGGGCGACUUUCUGGUCUGUAACUGACGCUGAUGUGCGAAAGCGUGGGGAUCAAACAGGAUUAGAUACCCUGGUAGCCACGCCGUAAACGAUGAGUGCUAAGUGUUAGGGGGUUUCCGCCCCUUAGUGCUGCAGCUAACGCAUUAAGCACUCCGCCUGGGGAGUACGACCGCAAGGUUGAAACUCAAAGGAAUUGACGGGGACCCGCACAAGCGGUGGAGCAUGUGGUUUAAUUCGAAGCAACGCGAAGAACCUUACCAAAUCUUGACAUCCUUUGACAACUCUAGAGAUAGAGCCUUCCCCUUCGGGGGACAAAGUGACAGGUGGUGCAUGGUUGUCGUCAGCUCGUGUCGUGAGAUGUUGGGUUAAGUCCCGCAACGAGCGCAACCCUUAAGCUUAGUUGCCAUCAUUAAGUUGGGCACUCUAAGUUGACUGCCGGUGACAAACCGGAGGAAGGUGGGGAUGACGUCAAAUCAUCAUGCCCCUUAUGAUUUGGGCUACACACGUGCUACAAUGGACAAUACAAAGGGCAGCGAAACCGCGAGGUCAAGCAAAUCCCAUAAAGUUGUUCUCAGUUCGGAUUGUAGUCUGCAACUCGACUACAUGAAGCUGGAAUCGCUAGUAAUCGUAGAUCAGCAUGCUACGGUGAAUACGUUCCCGGGUCU